AUUGAACGCUGGCGGCAGGCCUAACACAUGCAAGUCGAGCGGAUGAAGGGAGCUUGCUCCUGGAUUCAGCGGCGGACGGGUGAGUAAUGCCUAGGAAUCUGCCUGGUAGUGGGGGAUAACGUCCGGAAACGGGCGCUAAUACCGCAUACGUCCUGAGGGAGAAAGUGGGGGAUCUUCGGACCUCACGCUAUCAGAUGAGCCUAGGUCGGAUUAGCUAGUUGGUGGGGUAAAGGCCUACCAAGGCGACGAUCCGUAACUGGUCUGAGAGGAUGAUCAGUCACAGGGGAACGGAGAGCCGGUCAACACCCACAGGGGGGGACCCAGGGGGAAUUUUUGGAAAAGGGGCAAAAACCGAAUCCCCCCCUCCCGCGUGUGGAAAAAAGGUCUUCGAUUAGUAAGGCACUUUAGUGGGGAGGAAAGGAAGUUAAUUAAAUCCCUUCCUUUUUUCAGUUUCCCAAAAAAAAAGGCCCGGAUAAACUCCGGG
rnacentral:rRNA from 1 species